GGGUUGUGAGGUUAAGCGACUAAGCGUACACGGUGGAUGCCCUGGCAGUCAGAGGCGAUGAAGGACGUGCUAAUCUGCGAAAAGCGCCGGCGAGGUGAUAUGAACCUUUGACCCGGCGAUGUCCGAAUGGGGAAACCCAGUGCAAUCCGUUGCACUAUCGUUAACUGAAUACAUAGGUUAACGAGGCGAACCGGGGGAACUGAAACAUCUAAGUACCCCGAGGAAAAGAAAUCAACCGAGAUUCCCCCAGUAGCGGCGAGCGAACGGGGAGCAGCCCGGAGUCUGAAUCAGCUUGUGUGUUAGUGGAACGGUCUGGAAAGUCCGACGGUACAGGGUGAUAGUCCCGUACACGAAAGCACACAUGCUGUGAACUCGAAGAGUAGGGCGGGACACGUGGUAUCCUGUCUGAAUAUGGGGGGACCAUCCUCCAAGGCUAAAUACUCCUGACUGACCGAUAGUGAACCAGUACCGUGAGGGAAAGGCGAAAAGAACCCCGGCGAGGGGAGUGAAAAAGAACCUGAAACCGUGUACGUACAAGCAGUGGGAGCCUCUUUAUGGGGUGACUGCGUACCUUUUGUAUAAUGGGUCAGCGACUUAUAUUCUGUAGCAAGGUUAACCGUAUAGGGGAGCCGAAGGGAAACCGAGUCUUAACUGGGCGUUAAGUUGCAGGGUAUAGACCCGAAACCCGGUGAUCUAGCCAUGGGCAGGUUGAAGGUUGGGUAACACUAACUGGAGGACCGAACCGACUAAUGUUGAAAAAUUAGCGGAUGACCUGUGGCUGGGGGUGAAAGGCCAAUCAAACCGGGAGAUAGCUGGUUCUCCCCGAAAGCUAUUUAGGUAGCGCCUCGUGAAUUCAUCUUCGGGGGUAGAGCACUGUUUCGGCUAGGGGGCCAUCCCGGCUUACCAACCCGAUGCAAACUACGAAUACCGAAGAAUGUUAUCACGGGAGACACACGGCGGGUGCUAACGUCCGUCGUGAAGAGGGAAACAACCCAGACCGCCAGCUAAGGUCCCAAAGUCAUGGUUAAGUGGGAAACGAUGUGGGAAGGCACAGACAGCCAGGAUGUUGGCUUAGAAGCAGCCAUCAUUUAAAGAAAGCGUAAUAGCUCACUGGUCGAGUCGGCCUGCGCGGAAGAUGUAACGGGGCUAAACCAUGCACCGAAGCUGCGGCAGCGACACUUAUGUGUUGUUGGGUAGGGGAGCGUUCUGUAAGCCGUUGAAGGUGUGCUGUGAGGCAUGCUGGAGGUAUCAGAAGUGCGAAUGCUGACAUAAGUAACGAUAAAGCGGGUGAAAAGCCCGCUCGCCGGAAGACCAAGGGUUCCUGUCCAACGUUAAUCGGGGCAGGGUGAGUCGACCCCUAAGGCGAGGCCGAAAGGCGUAGUCGAUGGGAAACAGGUUAAUAUUCCUGUACUUGGUGUUACUGCGAAGGGGGGACGGAGAAGGCUAUGUCAGCCGGGCGACGGUUGUCCCGGUUUAAGCAUGUAGGCGGAGGUUCCAGGUAAAUCCGGUACCUUGUUAACGCUGAGGUGUGAUGACGAGGCACUACGGUGCUGAAGUGAUAAAUGCCCUGCUUCCAGGAAAAGCCUCUAAGCAUCAGGUAACACGAAAUCGUACCCCAAACCGACACAGGUGGUCAGGUAGAGAAUACCAAGGCGCUUGAGAGAACUCGGGUGAAGGAACUAGGCAAAAUGGUGCCGUAACUUCGGGAGAAGGCACGCUGAUAUGUAGGUGAAGCCCCUGCGGGCGGAGCUGAAAUCAGUCGAAGAUACCAGCUGGCUGCAACUGUUUAUUAAAAACACAGCACUGUGCAAACACGAAAGUGGACGUAUACGGUGUGACGCCUGCCCGGUGCCGGAAGGUUAAUUGAUGGGGUUAGCGGCAACGCGAAGCUCUUGAUCGAAGCCCCGGUAAACGGCGGCCGUAACUAUAACGGUCCUAAGGUAGCGAAAUUCCUUGUCGGGUAAGUUCCGACCUGCACGAAUGGCGUAAUGAUGGCCAGGCUGUCUCCACCCGAGACUCAGUGAAAUUGAACUCGCUGUGAAGAUGCAGUGUACCCGCGGCAAGACGGAAAGACCCCGUGAACCUUUACUAUAGCUUGACACUGAACACUGGUCCUUGAUGUGUAGGAUAGGUGGGAGGCUUUGAAGCGUGGACGCCAGUCUGCGUGGAGCCAACCUUGAAAUACCACCCUUUAAUGGCUGGUGUUCUAACGUAGACCCGUAAUCCGGGUUGCGGACAGUGUCUGGUGGGUAGUUUGACUGGGGCGGUCUCCUCCCAAAGAGUAACGGAGGAGCACGAAGGUUGGCUAAUCCUGGUCGGACAUCAGGAGGUUAGUGCAAUGGCAUAAGCCAGCUUGACUGCGAGCGUGACGGCGCGAGCAGGUGCGAAAGCAGGUCAUAGUGAUCCGGUGGUUCUGAAUGGAAGGGCCAUCGCUCAACGGAUAAAAGGUACUCCGGGGAUAACAGGCUGAUACCGCCCAAGAGUUCAUAUCGACGGCGGUGUUUGGCACCUCGAUGUCGGCUCAUCACAUCCUGGGGCUGAAGUAGGUCCCAAGGGUAUGGCUGUUCGCCAUUUAAAGUGGUACGCGAGCUGGGUUUAGAACGUCGUGAGACAGUUCGGUCCCUAUCUGCCGUGGGCGCUGGAGAAUUGAGGGGGGCUGCUCCUAGUACGAGAGGACCGGAGUGGACGCAUCACUGGUGUUCGGGUUGUCAUGCCAAUGGCACUGCCCGGUAGCUAAAUGCGGAAGAGAUAAGUGCUGAAAGCAUCUAAGCACGAAACUUGCCCCGAGAUGAGUUCUCCCUGAGACUUUAAGUCUCCUGAAGGAACGUUGAAGACGACGACGUUGAUAGGUCGGGUGUGUAAGCGCAGCGAUGCGUUGAGCUAACCGAUACUAAUGAACCGUGAGGCUUAACCUUACAACGCCGAAGCUGUU
rnacentral:rRNA from 1 species